UCCUGUUUGUGUCCUAGCUUCAAUGUAAGCCU
rnacentral:piRNA from 1 species